CCACAUCAGAUUGAAACACCAGUUCCCAUAUGAUUACCAAAGUUAAGAAAUAUUGAACCUGGUCAGUACCUCGAUAGGUGACUGCAUGGGAAUCCCAGUUGCUGUAUG